rnacentral:piRNA from 1 species
GGUAAACACUGAGCAAGAAUGGCAGG